UGUGAGAAUGACGAGUUGCACUUACAAAGUGGGGUGUCUGUUAGAGUGGUAACAGCUCCCCAAACUGACCCAUCCUGAGGACACACUGUGCACAGGGGCCAUCUGACUCAUG